rnacentral:rRNA from 1 species
UACGUGCGGGGCUAACGUUGUUCGGUGUCACUGGGCUUAAAGGGUGCGUAGGUGGUUGCGUAAGUAACGUGUGAAAUCCCUCGGCUUACCCGGGGAAUUGCAUGUUAUACUGCGUGGCUUGAGGACUAAAGGGGAAAAGGGAACUCCAGGUGUAGCGGUGAAAUGCGCAGAUAUCUGGGGGAAGGCCGGCGGCGAAGGCGCUUUUCUGGUUAGAUCCUGACACUGAGGCACGAAAGCGUGGGGAGCAAACAGG